GUCAGAUCAGAUGCCAAGACAAACUCUCUGCCGCUGUUAAUGGGGAGGCUGGAAGGCAAGGAAUGGCGUUUGAUGACAUGCAGUGGCCAAGUGGUAUCGUUUCAUGUGUGUCUAGAUUGCUGAAUGUCACUGAGGAAGCAGCGCCUGAGGAUGUUGACCUGGGAAUACUUGUGACAGUGGGAAAGAAGGAAGAUAAUAAAGACAAGAGCAGAACACAUAAGGGGGAACAACAAGACUUUCUGCACUAGUCACAAGUGCUGUAGAUAUACCAUCAUAAGAGCUAUAUCAGAGCCGCUGAGGAAUUUAUUAUGAUUUCCACACCUUUUCCGGUUCUGCAGAACAGGACCAAGUGGAACAGAGUGAGGGUAAUGUCUUGC
rnacentral:lncRNA from 1 species